rnacentral:rRNA from 12 species
GUUUGUGGCCACAUGUAAAUUCAAGUGCCUGAUAGCUUCUGUUAUUGGAAGCUUAGCAGGGCUAUGCCUGGUUAGUACUUGGAUGGGAGACCAACUUGAAAGACCAGGGGCUGGUAACU